AGAGAGAGAGAGAGAAUGAGAGAGAGAGAGAGAGAGAGAGAGAGAGAGAGAGAGAGAAUGAGAAGAGAACAUUUAUUAACGAUAAAAGACAGAAAUACCUUAUUUUACAUGAGCAUUCAGACUCUUUGCUAUGAGACUCGAAAUUGAGCUCAGGUGCAUCCUGUUUCCAUUGAUCAUCUUUGAGAUGUUUCUACAACUUGAUUGGAGACCACCUGUGGUAAAUGAAAUUGAUUGUAAGCUAUAAAGAGAAAUCGAGUCGCUCUACAUAUAAACUCCCAGUCAUUUAUUUUGUAAUCCACCAACGGUUCAGCAUCACUGUUCCUUCUUCAGGGUGAUGAAUGUUUGAACCAAGUUAUGUAGACAAAACAGUGUAAUUAGUGCAACCGAUGACAAUAUUAUGGAAUAAUUAUUAGGUUGAUUAGAAUGAAUUGAGUGAAACUGUUAAAAGACAAUAGUUUACAGCAUAUUAAAUAUAUUUUAUUUUAUUGAACCUUUAAUUAACUGGGCAAAUCAGUUAAGAACAAAUUACUUUUUACCAAAAGGCAAAAGGCCUCCUGCGGGGAUGGGGGCUGGGAUUGAAAAAAAAAAUCAAUUAAAAUAUAGGACAAAACACACAUCAGGACAAGAGAGACAACACAACACUACAUAAAGAGAGACCUAAGACAACAGCAUAGCAUGGCAGCAACACAUGAGAACACAGCAUGGUAGCAAGACAACAUGACAACAACAUGGUAGUACCACAACAUGGCAGCAGCAGAAAACAGGGUACAAACAUUGUUGGGCACAGACAACAGCACAAAGGGCAAGAAGGCAGAGACAAUAAUGCAUCACACAAAGCAGACACAACUGUCAGUAAGAGUGUCUAUGAUUGAGUCUUUGAACGAAGCGAUUGAGAUGAAACUGUCCAGUUUGAGUGUUUGUUGCAGCUCGUUCCAAUCACUAGCUGAGGCAAACUGAAAAGACGAGCGACCCAGGGAUGUGUGUGCUUUGGGAACCUUUAAAAGAAUGUGACUGGCACAACGGGUGAUGUAUGUGGACGAUGAGGGCUAUUGUUAUCAUUCCCUAAGAUUAACAUAAAUAAACAUUAUUGUUAAAUUUAAUUUCAGAUAUAUAUUCAAUUGUUUCAGUUUUCAUAAAUGUUUUUGUUCCUUGUAAUCUUUUGGUUCAACCUUAUUGCAUAAUAAGCAUCAUAUUGGGUGUACGCUGGCAAGCUGUAGAAAGAAAAUGUUCAUUUAUAAGACUUCAUUUAUAAUACAUUAAAUUAUUAAAAAAUAUAUAAUAGUUCAUAAGAAGGGCCUGAGAUCAAAGUCAAUAUUCCGACCACUAGCGGUCAAUGUUUUUAAUUAACCAGGAUAUCCUGUAGACCUCCCUCUGUCAUAGUAGAUCUCCUGUAGACCUCCCUCUGUCGUAGUAGAUAUCCUGUAGACCUCCCCUGUCGUAGUAGAUAUCCUGUAGACCUCCCUCUGUCGUAGUAGAUCUCCUGUAGACCUCCCUCUGUCGUAGUAGAUCUCCUGUAGACCUCCUCUGUCGUAGUAGAUCUCCAUGUUACCUCCUCUCCUCUGUAGUAGUAGAUCUCCUGUAGACCUCCCUCUGUCGUAGUAGAUCUCCAUGUUACCUCCUCUCCUCUGUCGUAGUAGAUAUCCUGUAGUCUCCCCUGUCGUAGUAGAUAUCCUGUAGACCUCCCUCUGUCGUAGUAGAUCUCCUGUAGACCUCCUCUGUCGUAGUAGAUCUCCAUGUUACCUCCUCUCCUCUGUAGUAGUAGAUCUCCUGUAGACCUCCCUCUGUCGUAGUAGAUCUCCAUGUUACCUCCUCUCCUCUGUCGUAGUAGAUAUCCUGUAGUCUCCCCUGUCGUAGUAGAUAUCCUGUAGACCGCCCUCUGUCGUAGUAGAUCUCCUGUAGACCUCCCUCUGUCGUAGUAGAUCUCCUGUAGACCUCCCCUGUCGUAGUAGAUAUCCUGUAGACCUCCCCUGUCGUAGUAGAUAUCCUGUAGACCUCCCUCUGUAGUAGUAGAUCUCCUGUAGACCUCCCUCUGUCGUAGUAGAUCUCCAUGUUACCACCUCUCUGUAGUAGUAGGAUAUCCUGUAGACCUCCUCUCUGUCGUAGUAGUAGGAUAUCCUGUAGACCUCCCCUGUCGUAGUAGAUAUCCUGUAGACCUCCCUCUGUCGUAGUAGAUCUCCUGUAGACCUCCCUCUGUCGUAGUAGAUAUCCUGUAGACCUCCCCUGUCGUAGUAGAUAUCCUGUAGACCUCCCUCUGUCGUAGUAGAUCUCCUGUAGACCUCCCUCUGUCGUAGUAGUAGGAUAUCCUGUAGACCUCCCUCUGUCGUAGUAGAUCUCCAUGUUACCUCCUCUCCUCUGUAGUAGUAGGAUCUCCAUGUUACCUCCUCUCCUCUGUCGUAGUAGUAGGAUAUCCUGUAGACCUCCCUCUGUCGUAGUAGUAGGAUAUCCUGUAGACCUCCCUCUGUCGUAGUAGUAGGAUAUCCUGUAGACCUCCCUCUGUCGUAGUAGACCUC
ensembl:lncRNA